rnacentral:tRNA from 1 species
GCGCUCGUAGCUCAGUUGGAUAGAGCAACAGCCUUCUAAGCCGUAGGUCACAGGUUCGAAUCCUGUCGAGCGUACCA